rnacentral:rRNA from 1 species
AGGACGAACGCUGGCGGCGUGCUUAACACAUGCAAGUCGAACGAGGUGCUUGCACCUAGUGGCGAACGGGUGAGUAACACGUGAGCAACCUGCCCUUGGCUCUGGGAUAGCCUCCGGAAACGGGGAUUAAUACCGGACAUGACCUUCACCUGCAUGGGUGUUGGUGGAAAGUUUUUCGGCCAGGGAUGGGCUCGCGGCCUAUCAGCUUGUUGGAGGGGUAACGGCCCACCAAGGCGACGACGGGUAGCCGGCCUGAGAGGGCGACCGGCCACACUGGGACUGAGACACGGCCCAGACUCCUACGGGAGGCAGCAGUGGGAAUAUGCACAAUGGGGGAAACCCUGAUGCAGCGACGCCGCGUGCGGGAUGAAGGCCUUCGGGUUGUAAACCGCUUUCACCAGGGACGAGCGAGAGUGACGGUACCUGGGAAGAAGCGCCGGCUAACUACGCGCCAGCAGCCGC